ACGCAGUUUAGACAGCCGGCACCAAGCCACCCGGAAGGAAGCGGCAAAGCACCAAUCACAAGCGAGAUUACGAAUGCCAAGGCCGUCAUUUCCGCAAUCUCUGGCCAUGGCGGCGGGCGCACCUGACUUCUCGCUGGCUGGCAUUACCACACCCAAGCGUGCUCGCUCCGUCGAGUCGCAUCUCCAUCGACGGACAGGACGAUUAUGCACAUGCAUCUGAAGAUCCUCUCCAAGAUGGCUCCGUGGCCACCGACACAAUCUCCUGACACAACUUACCACAGCCCUGAUAUUUUCUUCUUUGUGGAAGAUUGUGAAAGAAUUCCAUACGUCACAAUCUGUCGUUAAACAAGUGCUUCCUAAAAGUUCCAAGGUCGAAGGACGAUCCAGGAAAGGUACGUUCAUGUGAAAAGCGCCCCCAUUUGCAACACUGAACAGCAACACACAGUGUCACGUGCACACAGGCUGGUAAAAUUACUCAUGUGCUUUGAACAUGAUGGAGAAAAGGACACACCCAGGAAGAUAGCUAGGAUUUAACACUAAGUGCUCCUGGCAGGCCAAUUGGGAAAGAAUGGUUGUUUUGUUCAAAAUAGGGUUUUUGUGGGGAGUUCUUACUUUCAGAGGUUGCAUUUUAACAUUGCGUUCAUCACAGUCAUGUAAAAUUAUCCCUCUUUCUCUGUCUCCCACUGUUAUCAGUGAAAUGAAUACAAGUUACUUCGACCAAACCGUUACAUGAGUUGUAGCUAUAUUACACGAAUUUAGAUAUUUUAACUCCACUUUGGGGAUUUUUUACUGACAAUGCUGCAGGCUAGGCUGUGGAUGGAGUCUUGUACAGUCAUGGUAGCUAGGCCGUGGA